CCUCAUGCAAGUCCUGUCAGCAGGGGCAUUGGUAUCUUACUGGAGAUCCUUGUCUAUCUGAGACCUUCUGAAGUUUCCUAGGAUGAAAAGUUAACACCAAAGGAUUUCUUCAGGAAUAGUAUGAAGAAGGGUAUUCUGAAAAUGAAUUAUUUCUUAGGAGAAUGAACAAUUGAGAGAAUGAAGUGUUUGGAGGCUGUCAUCAAAGGAAACAUCUCCUUCUA